GUCCGCAAGGACAAUUGACAAUUGACCUCAAAUCAGGUAUGACUGAAACGAAGCCUG
rnacentral:rRNA from 1 species